UACGUAGGGGGCUAGCGUUGUCCGGAUUUAUUGGGCGUAAAGAGCGUGUAGGCGGCCAGGUAGGUCUGCUGUGAAAACUCGAGGCUCAACCUCGAGACGUCGGCGGAAACCAUCUGGCUAGAGUCCGGAAGAGGAGAGUGGAAUUCACGGUGUAGCAGUGAAAUGCGUAGAUAUCGUGAGGAAGACCAGUGGCGAAGGCGGGUCUCUGGACAGUUCCUGACACUGAGGCACGAAGGCCAGGGGAGCAAACGGG
rnacentral:rRNA from 1 species